UAAGAUUAUGUGUGGUUUUGUAACACCUCAGGUGUUUGUAAGUCAACAAUAAAACUUAAAGAGAGCCUACGUGGUCACUAAAUUUAGCAUAAAACACUUUAUGAAGGGUUUAGAUAUGUGGGGGGUUUAGAAAGAAAAAUAUUGAUCGUGCAUCAUUAUGGAUCCAAUGUGCAUUGCCCCUACCUUAAGAGACCUCGUGAGGGCGCACUACCUUACCCC
rnacentral:lncRNA from 1 species